rnacentral:rRNA from 1 species
AUUGAACGCUGGCGGCAGGCCUAACACAUGCAAGUCGAGCGGAGCGGCGGACGGGUGAGUAAUGCCUAGGAAUCUGCCUGGUAGUGGGGGAUAACGUCCGGAAACGGGCGCUAAUACCGCAUACUAUCAGAUGAGCCUAGGUCGGAUUAGAUAGUUGGUGGGGUAAAGGCCUACCAAGGCGACGAUCCGUAACUGGUCUGAGAGGAUGAUCAGUCACACUGGAACUGGGGCACGGCCCAGACUCCUACGGGAGGGAGCAGUGGGGAAUUUUGGACAAAUGGGGAAACCCUGAUCCAGCCAUCCCGCGUGUGCGAUGAAGGCCUUCGGGUUGUAAAGCUCUGUUAAUCGGGACGCGGUACCGGAAUAGAAAGCCACGGCUAACUACGUGCCAGCAGCCGCGGUAAUAC